UACGUAGGCAGCAAGCGUUGUUCGGAGUUACUGGGCGUAAAGGGUGUGUAGGCGGUUGUUUAAGUUUGGUGUGAAAUCUCCCGGCUCAACCGGGAGGGUGCGCCGAAUACUGAGUGACUAGAGUGCGGGAGAGGAAAGUGGAAUUCCUGGUGUAGCGGUGAAGUGCGUAGAUAUCAGGAGGAACACCGGUGGUGUAGACGGCUUUCUGGACCGUAACUGACGCUGAGACACGAAAGCGUGGGUAGCAAACAGG
rnacentral:rRNA from 1 species